GCCAUGCCGCGUGAGUGAAGAAGGCCUUAGGGUUGUAAAGCUCUGUCGUGAGGGAAGAAGAUCUGACGGUACCUCACAAGAAAGCACCGGCUAACUCCGUGCCAGCAGCCGCGGUAAUACGGAGGGUGCAAGCGUUGCUCGGAAUUACUGGGCGUAAAGCGCACGCAGGCGGUUUGUCAGGUCGGAUGUGAAAGCCCGGGGCUCAACCCCGGAACUGCAUUCGAAACCGGCAGACUUGAGUUCCAGAGAGGGUGGUGGAAUUCCUGGUGUAGAGGUGAAAUUCGUUGAUAUCA
rnacentral:rRNA from 1 species